rnacentral:rRNA from 1 species
CGUGCAUAUCAAUAGCGGACAAAGGGUCCGUGCAUAUCAAUAAGCGGAGCACACGGGUCCGUGCAUAUCAAUAAGCGGAGCACACUGGUCCCUGCAUAGCACUAAGCGGAUCAGACUGUGCCUUGCAGAUAGAGUGAGCAGGCCUCUUUCUGUUCUCGUGGCACGACGAACACAAGUCUGCCCUCUCGACUAUAUCUAGUUGUUUGGGAAUGCAUCUCAAAGUGGGUGGUAAAUUCCAUCUUGUGCUAAAUAUUGGCGAGAGACCGAUAGCGAACAUGUACAGUGAUGGAAAGAUGAAUAGCACUUUGAAAAGAGAGUGAAACAUGUACGUGAAAUUGUUGAAAGGGAAGGGCUUGCUAGCAGACACGGCUUUUGCCGGGCCAGCUUCCGUUUGGGGAGGCGGACAACCGCGGGAGCAUGUGGCGCACCUCGGUGCGUGUUUAUAGCUCCCGUCCAUACGCCUUCUCCAGUCCGAGGCCUGCGUUCUAACUAGUAUGCUGGCGUAAUGGUGGGCAAGCC